UGUCUUUUUGAGGAUAAUAUAAAGUCUAAUCUGCCCACUGAUUUAUAAUUGAAGGGCUGCAGUAUAUUGACUGUACAAAGGUAGCAUAAUCAUUAGUCAUUUAAUUGGUGACUUGUAUGAAGGAUUGGAUGAGGUAUAAACUGUCUCUUAUUUAUAUUUAAAAUUUAAUUUUUUGAUUAAAAAGUUAAAAUAUUAUUAAAAAGACGAGAAGACCCUAUAGAGUUUUAUAAUUAAUGUUAAUUAAGAUUAUUUAUAAAAUAAAAUUAAAAUUGAUAUAUUUAUUGUAUUGGGGUGAUAGAAAAAUAUAAUAAACUUUUUUUUUUAUAUAAAACAUUAAUAAGUGAUUAUAUGAUCCGGUAUUAUUGAUUAUAAGAAAAAAUUACCUUAGGGAUAACAGCGUAAUUUUUUUUUUUAGUUCAUAUAAGAAAAAGAGUUUGCGACCUCGAUGUUGGAUUAAGAUAAAAUUUAAA
rnacentral:rRNA from 1 species